rnacentral:rRNA from 1 species
GAUGAACGCUGGCGGCGUGCUUAACACAUGCAAGUCGAACGGAAAGGCCAGUGCUUGCACUGGUACUCGAGUGGCGAACGGGUGAGUAACACGUGGGUGAUCUGCCCUGCACUUCGGGAUAAGCCUGGGAAACUGGGUCUAAUACCGGAUAGGACAAUGGUUUGGAUGCCGUUGUGGAAAGUUUUUUCGGUGUGGGAUGAGCUCGCGGCCUAUCAGCUUGUUGGUGGGGUAAUGGCCUACCAAGGCGUCGACGGGUAGCCGGCCUGAGAGGGUGUACGGCCACAUUGGGACCGAGAUACGGCCCAGACUCCUACGGGAGGCAGCAGUGGGGAAUAUUGCACAAUGGGCGCAAGCCUGAUGCAGCGACGCCGCGUGGGGGAUGACGGCCUUCGGGUUGUAAACUCCUUUCGCUAGGGACGAAGCGUAUUUGUGACGGUACCUGGAGAAGAAGCACCGGCUAACUACGUG